rnacentral:rRNA from 1 species
UACGUAGGUGGCAAGCGUUGUCCGGAUUUACUGGGCGUAAAGAGCGCGCAGGCGGUCGUGCAAGUCGCGUGUGAAAGCCCCCGGCUCAACUGGGGAGGGUCACGCGAUACUGCUCGACUCGAAGGCAGGAGAGGGAAGUGGAAUUCCCGGUGUAGUGGUGAAAUGCGUAGAUAAUCGGGGAGGAACACCAGUGGCGAAGGCGACUUCCUGGCCUGUUCUUGACGCUGAGGCGCGAAAGCUAGGGUAGCAAACGGG